rnacentral:rRNA from 1 species
UACGUAGGGUGCGAGCGUUAAUCGGAAUUACUGGGCGUAAAGCGUGCGCAGGCGGUUUUCCAAGACAGAUGUGAAAUCCCCGGGCUCAACCUGGGAAUGGCAUUUGUGACUGGAAGGCUAGAGUGUGUCAGAGGGGGGUAGAAUUCCACGUGUAGCAGUGAAAUGCGUAGAGAUGUGGAGGAAUACCGAUGGCGAAGGCAGCCUUCUGGGCCAACACUGACGCUCAUGCACGAAAGCGUGGGGAGCAAACAGG